AGCUAUUUUACAUUUGGUAGUGUAUAUAUGUCAGUGUUACUCUCUCACUUCGUCCCGGUUUACCCUUCUUACUCCCCGUGUCCUCAAGUCCAUUCUCUACGUGGUGAUGAGACAUUUUUGACUGUUACUCCUGGGAGCGUAGGGUGUGUUGCUCCUGGCAUGUAGCUGGUAGAGCCAGAGAUGUUGUGAAACAUCCCACAGUGUCCAAGACAGCUUGCUACAACAAAGGAUAAUCUGGUCCAAAAUGUUAGUAGGGCAGCUGUUGAGAACUCUGGGUUAGGAGAGUUGGAGGAGGGUGGUGGGAAAGGGGAAGAAAAAGACUGAGAGACAGAGACCAGUGGACCAACACAUCAUGCAGAGAGGGUCCUGGAAUGGAGCCUGGGAACCAUACAUAGCCUUUAGCUGGGACCUGGAGGGGAAGGAGGGUGGAAAAACUGAUCAGCCUCCGGGGGUGGGAGAGGGCGGCUCUUUUCUAGCCAGGCUUGAAAGGAUUUGCUAUUAAGGAGGCCUGAUGUGGUUUCAAAGGGUCUCCUUUGCCCCCCUGAGUAGUUUUUCCAUAUUUAAAUUUCAAAUUACUUCAACAGAGGAAGCUUUCAUUCCAGUAAUGAAAUAAAAAGCUAAGUUGAAGGUGACAUAUUUUUGUGGGAAAGAACCGUCAAAUGUAACAGGCCAACAAAGAGAAAUGGCUCUUAUUAAAUCCUGUUUUUGAUUAGGGAAAGGAGAGAAGAACUUUGAGGGCUUGAGGUUGGUAGUGGGUCAGAGCAGAGCACAGAAGGGUACAUAAAGAAGAGACUUCACAGUGUUUCCUAGGGAAGUUCCUAUUCUCUUGAAACUUGUGUGGGAAAGUGAAGCUACAUGAUCAGAAGCAACUUUGAAAUAACUUAAAAAAAGUGGCAUUGGUGUAGGAAUAUUUUUUCCCCUUGAGACAUUUGUAUUAAUGAGUUGGAUGGUAAAAGAUGAUUAACAUUCCAGACUGGUAGAGUCCAGCAGUGGCUUCCAACGAUUAAAAUAACCUAUGUUUAAAUUCUCCAGGCUUCCACCUAUCCUUAGGCUGACUGAGGGGGGAAAAAUAGCUUUGGAGUCUGUACCGAGGGACAAGCAGAUCCACAACUUGAAAGGCUUGAGAAGGGAAAAGUGAAGAUCACUGCUCUAGAUGGAUUGCUUCGUUUCUUUCUGGAGGGCCAAGGACCAUUCACUAGAAGGUAAUUUAUUUUAAACCUUUUCUUCAUAGUUUAAUGAAGCAGAAGUUGAUUCAUACUUCACAACUUCAUCUGUAUUAGGACUGAUAACUAAUAAACUCUGCAAAAAAAAGUGUGCUUAUGGAAAUUACGUGGAUGUGUUUUGUACGUGCACGGCAUUUUCUAUCCAUUCUCUGUCUGUGAAAGACAAAUAUGUCUGUAUAGUACAAAGUUACUUUUGCUGUUGUCAGUACUUAUCAAUAUAGCUUAUGUCACAGCAAUAAUUAAAUCAUUCACUCUGA